rnacentral:rRNA from 1 species
AACGAACGCUGGCGGCAUGCCUAACACAUGCAAGUCGAACGAGAUCUUCGGGUCUAGUGGCGCACGGGUGCGUAACGCGUGGGAAUCUGCCCUUUGGUUCGGAAUAACAGUUGGAGACGACUGCUAAUACCGGAUGAUGACGAAAGUCCAAAGAUUUAUCGCCAGAGGAUGAGCCCGCGUAGGAUUAGCUAGUUGGUGUGGUAAAGGCGCACCAAGGCGACGAUCCUUAGCUGGUCUGAGAGGAUGAUCAGACACACUGGGACUGAGACACGGACCAGACUCGUACGGGGGGAAGCGGUGGGGAAUAUUGGACAAUGGGCGAAAACCUGAGCCAGCAAUGCCGCGUGAGUGAUGAAGGCCUUAGGGUUGUAAAGCUCUUUUACCCGGGAUGAUAAUGACACUACCGGGAGAAUAAGCUCCGGCUAACUCCGUGCCAGCCGCCGCCGUAA